AGUGGGAUAACUGGGUCAAAUGGUAGUUCCAUUCCAAAUUUUCUGAGGAAUUGCUGUACUGCUUUUAAGAGUGGUUGCACCAGUCUGCAGUCCCACCAGAAAU
rnacentral:pre_miRNA from 1 species